CACUGAAUUUGGAAAAGGAUUUAUAGCUCUUUCUCGAUUCUGUGGGUGGUGGUGCAUGGCCGUUCUUAGUUGGUGGAGCGAUUUGUCUGGUUAAUUCUGAUAACGAACGAGACUCUGGCAUGCUAACUAGUUAUGCGACCCCCGAGGGUGCUGAAGGCACUGGCCGACAUCAUUGCAGAGCCACUAGAGGGAAUAUUUGAAAGCUUGUGGCGCACGGGCCAAGUCCCAGAGGACUGGAAAAGGGCCAAUGUGGCCCCCA
rnacentral:ncRNA from 1 species